rnacentral:rRNA from 1 species
UGGGGAAUAUUGCACAAUGGGCGAAAGCCUGAUGCAGCGACGCCGCGUGCGGGAUGAAGGCCUUCGGGUUGUAAACCGCUUUUGAUUGGGAGCAAGCGAGAGUGAGUGUACCUUUCGAAUAAGCACCGGCUAACUACGUGCCAGCAGCCGCGGUAAUACGUAGGGUGCAAGCGUUAUCCGGAAUUAUUGGGCGUAAAGAGCUCGUAGGCGGUUUGUCGCGUCUGGUGUGAAAGUCCAUCGCUUAACGGUGGAUCUGCGCCGGGUACGGGCAGGCUAGAGUGCGACAGGGGAGACUGGAAUUCCCGGUGUAACGGUGGAAUGUGUAGAUAUCGGGAAGAACACCAAUGGCGAAGGCAGGUCUCUGGGUCGUCACUGACGCUGAGGAGCGAAAGCGUGGGGAGCGAACAGGAUUAGAUACCCUGGUAGUCCACGCCGUAAACGGUGGAUGCUGGAUGUGGGGGCCCAUUCC